GACGAACGCUGGCGGCGUGCCUAAUACAUGCAAGUAGAACGCUGAAGGAGGAGCUUGCUCUUCUGGAUGAGUUGCGAACGGGUGAGUAACGCGUAGGUAACCUGCCUGGUAGCGGGGGAUAACUAUUGGAAACGAUAGCUAACACCGCAUAACAGUAGAUGUUGCAUGACAUUUACUUAAAAGGUGCAAUUGCAUCACUACCAGAUGGACCUGCGUUGUAUUAGCUAGUUGGUGGGGUAACGGCUCACCAAGGCGACGAUACAUAGCCGACCUGAGAGGGUGAUCGGCCACACUGGGACUGAGACACGGCCCAGACUCCUACGGGAGGCAGCAGUAGGGAAUCUUCGGCAAUGGACGGAAGUCUGACCGAGCAACGCCGCGUGAGUGAAGAAGGUUUUCGGAUCGUAAAGCUCUGUUGUAAGAGAAGAACGAGUGUGAGAGUGGAAAGUUCACACUGUGACGGUAUCUUACCAGAAAGGGACGGCUAACUACGUG
rnacentral:rRNA from 1 species